UACGUAGGGUCCAAGCGUUAUCCGGAAUCACUGGGCGUAAAGCGUACGUAGGUGGCGUGUUAAGUGAGAUGUUAAAUCGUGUGGCUCAACCAUACGUUGUGUCUCAUACUGGCAUGCUAGAGGACGGCAGAGGCAAGUGGAAUUACGAGUGUAGCAGUGAAAUGCGUAGAUAUUCGUAGGAACACCAAUGGCGAAGGCAGCUUGCUGGGCCACACCUGACACUGAGGUACGAAAGCGUGGGGAGCGAACAGG
rnacentral:rRNA from 1 species